GACGAACGCUGGCGGCGUGCUUAACACAUGCAAGUCGAACGGAAAGGCCCUGCUUUUGUGGGGUGCUCGAGUGGCGAACGGGUGAGUAACACGUGAGUAACCUACCCUUGACUUUGGGAUAACUUCAGGAAACUGGGGCUAAUACCGGAUAGGAGCUCCUGCUGCAUGGUGGGGGUUGGAAAGUUUCGGCGGUUGGGGAUGGACUCGCGGCUUAUCAGCUUGUUGGUGGGGUAGUGGCUUACCAAGGCUUUGACGGGUAGCCGGCCUGAGAGGGUGACCGGCCACAUUGGGACUGAGAUACGGCCCAGACUCCUACGGGAGGCAGCAGUGGGGAAUAUUGCACAAUGGGCGGAAGCCUGAUGCAGCAACGCCGCGUGCGGGAUGACGGCCUUCGGGUUGUAAACCGCUUUCGCCUGUGACGAAGCGUGAGUAACGGUAAUGGGUAAAGAAGCACCGGCUAACUACGUGCCAGCAGCCGCGGUGAUACGUAGGGUGCGAGCGUUGUCCGGAUUUAUUGGGCGUAAAGGGCUCGUAGGUGGUUGAUCGCGUCGGAAGUGUAAUCUUGGGGCUUAACCCUGAGCGUGCUUUCGAUACGGGUUGACUUGAGGAAGGUAGGGGAGAAUGGAAUUCCUGGUGGAGCGGUGGAAUGCGCAGAUAUCAGGAGGAACACCAGUGGCGAAGGCGGUUCUCUGGGCCUUUCCUGACGCUGAGGAGCGAAAGCGUGGGGAGCGAACAGGCUUAGAUACCCUGGUAGUCCACGCUGUAAACGGUGGGUACUAGGUGUGGGGUCCAUUCCACGGGUUCCGUGCCGUAGCUAACGCUUUAAGUACCCCGCCUGGGGAGUACGGCCGCAAGGCUAAAACUCAAAGGAAUUGACGGGGCCCCGCACAAGCGGCGGAGCAUGCGGAUUAAUUCGAUGCAACGCGUAGAACCUUACCUGGGUUUGACAUGGAUCGGGAGUGCUCAGAGAUGGGUGUGCCUCUUUUGGGGUCGGUUCACAGGUGGUGCAUGGCUGUCGUCAGCUCGUGUCGUGAGAUGUUGGGUUAAGUCCCGCAACGAGCGCAACCCUUGUUCACUGUUGCCAGCACGUUAUGGUGGGGACUCAGUGGAGACCGCCGGGGUCAACUCGGAGGAAGGUGGGGAUGACGUCAAGUCAUCAUGCCCCUUAUGUCCAGGGCUUCACGCAUGCUACAAUGGCUGGUACAGAGAGUGGCGAGCCUGUGAGGGUGAGCGAAUCUCGGAAAGCCGGUCUCAGUUCGGAUUGGGGUCUGCAACUCGACCUCAUGAAGUCGGAGUCGCUAGUAAUCGCAGAUCAGCAACGCUGCGGUGAAUACGUUCCCGGG
rnacentral:rRNA from 1 species